CACCGAAGCUGGUGACCUGUCCCUGACUUUUACUAAAAAUAUUCAUGAUAAAAUGGGAAGGGGUGGUAACAAAGGGCUAACAACAGAUGGCUGCUGAACCUGGAUGUUCCUCUAUUCAAAUAGAAAUGCCCUAGACAAAAGGCUGGCUUCUACCAAAGGAAACUGGUUUAUCAGAGAAGAUACCACUUGGCAACAGUCACCUGGUAGGGAUCUGUGGGCAGCAGUUGAGGCUGAUCAGAAGAGACUGGAAAAUUAUAAAAUGACAGAAGCUACUGUAAUCUGGUUCUCUGGCCAUUUUUCACCAGCUCAAGAUGAGGAGAGCUACUGAAGGAGCCUGAUAAGGCUUUCCUGAGCACAAAUAGACCAUCAAGGACUCUGAAGGGAAAGGUACUUAUGGACUGCAAUUAAAUCAUCCCUUAACCGUC